rnacentral:tRNA from 1 species
GGGCGAGUGGCGGAAUGGCAGACGCAAAGGACUUAAAAUCCUUCGGCCCUAAACCGUGAGGGUUCGAGUCCCUCCUCGCCCA